AUCAUCUGAUGAAUUGGGUUUUAUCCAUGAAAACUCCUGACCAAAUACUUUAGUUAGUCUCUUAAGGUGCCACAGGACUGAGUGUUGUUUUUACAGGAACAAAAUAGACUUCUUAAAACCCAAAUACUGUUUUAAUAUGAGGAACAAAGCAUGUAAAGAAAGAUUUUUGAACACAACCUGCAUGAGUCAAUUGUACCCUCUUCUCUCCCCCCCCCAUGGCAGCCAAAAUAAUCCCUGCCCCUGCUAGGACCUUUGUCUCACAUGACUGACGGCUCUAUUCUCUUAAUCCCAGCAGAGUGAUUUCCUAGGCGUUCACCCGAGUCACCCAAACUGGUUCUGUAAAUUGGUUGGUACGGGCCAGUAGAAUCUUCCAAGCUAGUAGUUCAGGCUUUGUCUCUUAACCUGUUUUCUGAGGAGUGGCUUAUAUUGAGCCAUUGUUCCCUUCUGCCUUCCCUGACAACUCCUUUAUUAAUCAAUCAAUGUCUAUAUACAGAAAAUAUCUCCAAAACCAGGUCACCAGGCGGUGUUCAUAAAUUAUUAAAAGAAGGUUGCCAGCAGAAUGUGGAACGUAACCUCAUUCCCUUUUCUCUGGCUUUUUUUUU